CCUACGGGAGGCUGCAGUGGGGAAUAUUGCACAAUGGGGGAAACCCUGAUGCAGCGACGCCGCGUGAGCGAUGAAGGAUUUCGGUAUGUAAAGCUCUAUUAGCAGGGAAGAAAAUGACGGUACCUGACUAAGAAGCCCCGGCUAACUACGUGCCAGCAGCCGCGGUAAUACGUAGGGGGCAAGCGUUAUCCGGAUUUACUGGGUGUAAAGGGAGCGUAGAGGGUCCUGAAAGACAGAUGUGAAAGCCCGGGGCUCAACCCCGGGACUGCAUUUGGAACUGUAAGGCUAGAGUGUCGGAGAGGCAGGCGGAAUUCCUAGUGUAGCGGUGAAAUGCGUAGAUAUUAGGAGGAACACCAGUGGCGAAGGCGGCUUGCUGGACGAGUACUGACGUUGAGGCACGAAAGCGUGGGGAGCAAACAGGAUUAGAUACCCUAGUAGUC
rnacentral:rRNA from 1 species